rnacentral:rRNA from 1 species
UGAGGAAUAUUGGUCAAUGGGCGCAAGCCUGAACCAGCCAAGUCGCGUGAGGGAAGACGGCCCUACGGGUUGUAAACCUCUUUUGCCGGGGAGCAAGCCUGAGCACGUGUGCCCAGGCGGAGAGUACCCGGAGAAAAAGCAUCGGCUAACUCCGUGCCAGCAGCCGCGGUAAUACGGAGGAUGCGAGCGUUAUCCGGAUUUAUUGGGUUUAAAGGGUGCGCAGGCGGGCUGUUAAGCCGGCGGUAAAAAUUCAGGGCUCAACCCUGUCGAGCCGUCGGAACUGGCAGUCUUGAGUGGGCGAGAAGUAUGCGGAAUGCGUGGUGUAGCGGUGAAAUGCAUAGAUAUCACGCAGAACGCCGAUUGCGAAGGCAGCAUACCGGCGCCCAACUGACGCUGAGGCACGAAAGCGUGGGGAUCGAACAGGAUUAGAUACCCUGGUAGU